rnacentral:rRNA from 1 species
UACGGGGGGGGCAAGCGUUGUUCGGAAUUACUGGGCGUAAAGGGUUCGUAGGUGGCCCGCUAAGUCACACGUGAAAUCCCUCAGCUUAACUGGGGAACUGCGUGUGAGACUGGCAGGCUUGAGUGCAGGAGAGGAACGCGGAAUUCCAGGUGUAGCGGUGAAAUGCGUAGAUAUCUGGAGGAACACCGGUGGCGAAGGCGGCGUUCUGGACUGUAUCUGACACUGAGACGCGAAAGCGUGGGGAGCAAACAGG